UACAGAGGGUGCGAGCGUUGUCCGGAAUCACUGGGCGUAAAGGGCGCGUAGGUGGUGGCUUAAGCGUGCGGUGAAAGCUCGGGGCUCAACCCGGAAACUGCCAUUGAUACUAUCAGUCUUGAAUUCUGUUGAGGUGGGCGGAAUAUGUCAUGUAGCGGUGAAAUGCAUAGAUAUGACAUAGAACACCAAUUGCGAAGGCAGCUCACUAAGCAGCGAUUGACGCUGAGGCACGAAAGCGUGGGGAUCAAACAGG
rnacentral:rRNA from 1 species